rnacentral:SRP_RNA from 1 species
GCCAGGCAUGGUGGUGCGUGCCUGUAGUUCCAGCUACUCAGGAGGCUGAGGCAGAAUAAUUGCUUGAACCCAGGAGGCGGAGGUUGCAGUGAGCCGAGAUUGUGCCACUGCACUCCAGCCUGGGUGACAGAGCGAGACUCUGUCUCAA